CCCGUUGCAAAGGUAGGGGAUGAGGUGUGAUUAGGAGUGAAAAGCUAAUCGAACCCGGAGAUAGCUGGUUCUCCUCGAAAGCUAUUUAGGUAGCGCCUCAUAUGUAUCCUCUCGGGGGUAGAGCACUGUUAUGGCUAGGGGGUCAUCGCGACUUACCAAACCAUUGCAAACUCCGAAUACCGAGACGGACUGUAUGGGAGACACACGGCGGGUGCUAACGUCCGUCGUGAAAAGGGAAACAACCCAGACCCACAGCUAAGGUCCCAAAUUCACUGCUAAGUGGAAAACCAUGUGGAAAGGCACAGACAGCCAGGAGGUUGGCUUAGAAGCAGCCACCCUUUAAAGAAAGCGUAAUAGCUCACUGGUCGAGUCGGUCUGCGGGGAAGAUUUAACGGGGCUAAGCAGUGAACCGAAGCUUGGGGUGCAUAACUUUGUUAUGCGCGGUAGAGGAGCGUUCCGUAAGCCGUUGAAGGUGGAUUGAGAAGUCUGCUGGAGGUAUCGGAAGUGCGAAUGCUGACAUGAGUAACGAUAAUGCGGGUGAAAAACCCGCACGCCGAAAGCCCAAGGUUUCCUUGCGCAACGUUAAUCGGCGCAGGGUGAGUCGGCCCCUAAGGCGAGGACGAAAGUCGUAGUCGAUGGGAAGCAGGUUAAUAUUCCUGCACCUCGCGUAAGUGCGAUGGAGGGACGGAGAAGGUUAGGUGUACCAGGCGUUGGUUGUCCUGGGGAAAGGCGGUAGGUUUGGAUCUUUGGCAAAUCCGGGAUCCUUUAAGACCGAGCACCGAGACGAGCCUUUAUGGCGAAGUCACUGAUACCACGCUUCCAGGAAAAGCUCCUAAGCUUCAGCUUACGCAGACCGUACCGUAAACCGACACAGGUGGGUAGGAUGAGAAUUCUCAGGCGCUUGAGAGAACUCGGGUGAAGGAACUAGGCAACAUGGCACCGUAACUUCGGGAGAAGGUGCACCCUUUUUGGUGGCUCGUGCGAGCUAUAGCUGAAGAGGGUCGCAGUAACCAGGCCGCUGCGACUGUUUAUCAAAAACACAGCACUCUGCAAACACGAAAGUGGACGUAUAGGGUGUGACGCCUGCCCGGUGCUGGAAGGUUAAUUGAUGGGGUCAGCCGCAAGGCGAAGCUCUUGAUCGAAGCCCCAGUAAACGGCGGCCGUAACUAUAACGGUCCUAAGGUAGCGAAAUUCCUUGUCGGGUAAGUUCCGACCUGCACGAAUGGCGUAACGACAGCGGCGCUGUCUCCACCCGAGACUCAGUGAAAUUGAAAUCGCUGUGAAGAUGCAGCGUUCCCGUGGCAAGACGGAAAGACCCCGUGAACCUUUACUAUAGCUUUACACUGAACGUUGAGUUCGUCUGUGUAGGAUAGGUGGGAGGCUAUGAAACCAUGGCGCUAGCUGUGGCGGAGCCAUCCUUGAAAUACCACCCUGUCGUGCUUGACGUUCUAACCUGGGCCCAUUAUCUGGGUCGGGGACCGUGUAUGGUGGGUAGUUUGACUGGGGCGGUCUCCUCCUAAAGAGUAACGGAGGAGCUCGAAGGUACGCUCAGCGCGGUCGGACAUCGCGCACUGUGUGCAAAGGCAUAAGCGUGCUUGACUGCAAGAUCGACGGAUCAAGCAGGUAGGAAACUAGGACUUAGUGAUCCGGUGGUUCUGUAUGGAAGGGCCAUCGCUCAACGGAUAAAAGGUACUCCGGGGAUAACAGGCUGAUACCGCCCAAGAGUUCAUAUCGACGGCGGUGUUUGGCACCUCGAUGUCGGCUCAUCACAUCCUGGGGCUGUAGUCGGUCCCAAGGGUAUGGCUGUUCGCCAUUUAAAGUGGUACGCGAGCUGGGUUCAGAACGUCGUGAGACAGUUCGGUCCCUAUCUGCCAUGGGCGUUGGAGAUUUGAGAGGGGCUGCUCCUAGUACGAGAGGACCGGAGUGGACGAACCUCUGGUGUUCCGGUUGUCACGCCAGUGGCAUUGCCGGGUAGCUAUGUUCGGAAGCGAUAACCGCUGAAAGCAUCUAAGCGGGAAGCGCGCCUCAAGAUGAGAUCUCCCGGGGCACAAGCCCCCUGAAGGAACCAUGUAGACUACGUGGUUGAUAGGUCAGGUGUGUAAGUACAGCAAUGUAUUGAGCUAACUGAUACUAAUGAUCCGUGCGGCUUGACCAUAUAACCUCA
rnacentral:rRNA from 1 species